AUGCUCGGUUUUGGUGCAAGAAGUCUCACUCAGCUUGUAACUAUCCUUGAGCUCUUUGACAUGCUUGAUGCGGGCCUUGAGUUCCUCGAUCUGGUCGGCAAUUCCACAGCGAGAAUCGAGCGUCCUGAGGAAGCGAGUGGUGUCGCGGAAGAUUUCCUUGAAGCCGCCGCGACGCCCGUGUUUGCCGAGGUGGCGGAUGAACUUGUCGAUGCAAUCCUCGGUAUCAUAGGCCAGCUCCCUGAGCAGCGAUAUCCAGGCCUUCACCUGGACGCCUGGAUCUUCGAGCAUGGUGUACUCCUGGAGCGCGGCGUGCAUGCUGGUCAGCUCGGCCUGGAGAGAGAGGAUGUCCUUGCGGACGCCUCGCACGCGGCCGAACUUGCCGGCGAGCAGGUCGGCGAGCUUCCCCAGCAGCGGACCCAGCACGCCAUGCGCGGCGCUCACCACCGACAUCGAUGGAUCGGUCGAUGCCCUCUGCUAGCUCUUUCUGGUCUCGCUCGUUGGUGUUUGUCAGAUCUGCUGCUGCUGCUGCUGGGAGAGUGGAGAGGGAGAAGUGGCCGGAUGGAGGAAGAGGAAAGCAGCAAGCAAUAA
rnacentral:rRNA from 1 species